rnacentral:rRNA from 1 species
GACGAACCGUGCGAACGUUAUUCGGAAUCACUGGGCUUAAAGGGUGCGUAGGCGGGUUGCCAAGUCUGUGGUGAAAUCCUCCGGCUUAACCGGAGAACUGCCGUGGAUACUGGCGACCUCGAGGGGUAUAGGGGCUUGCGGAACUGUGCGUGGAGCGGUGAAAUGCGUUGAUAUGCACAGGAACUCCGGUGGCGUAAGCGGCGAGCUGGAUACCUUCUGACGCUGAGGCACGAAAGCCAGGGGAGCGAACGGG